UGGGGAAUUUUGGACAAUGGGCGAAAGCCUGAUCCAGCAAUGCCGCGUGUGUGAAGAAGGCCUUCGUGUUGAUAAGCACUUUUGUCCGGAAAGAAAUCCUUGGCUCUAAUACAGUCGGGGGAUGACGGUACCGGAAGAAUAAGCACCGGCUAACUACGUGCCAGCAGCCGCGGUAAUACGUAGGGUGCAAGCGUUAAUCGGAAUUACUGGGCGUAAAGCGUGCGCAGGCGGUUUGCUAAGACCGAUGUGAAAUCCCCGGGCUCAACCUGGGAACUGCAUUGGUGACUGGCAGGCUAGAGUAUGGCAGAGGGGGGUAGAAUUCCACGUGUAGCAGUGAAAUGCGUAGAGAUGUGGAGGAAUACCGAUGGCGAAGGCAGCCCCCCUGGGCCAAUACUGACGCUCAUGCACGAAAGCGUGGGGAGCAAACAGGAUUAGAUACCCUGGUAGUCCACGCCCUAAACGAUGUCAACUAGUUGUUGGGGAUUCAUUUCCUUAGUAACGUAGCUAACGCGUGAAGUUGACCGCCUGGGGAGUACGGUCGCAAGAUUAAAACUCAAAUGAAUUGACGGGGUCAUAGCUGUUUCCU
rnacentral:rRNA from 1 species